rnacentral:rRNA from 1 species
UACAGAGGGGGCAAGCGUUAUUCGGAAUUAUUGGGCGUAAAGGGCGCGUAGGCGGCUUUGCAAGUGGCGGGUGAAAUCCCUCGGCUUAACCGAGGAACUGCCUGUCAAACUGCAUGGCUUGAGACCAGGAGAGGUGAGUGGAAUUCCUGGUGUAGCGGUGGAAUGCGCAGAUAUCAGGAGGAACACCAAUAGCGAAGGCAGCUCGCUGGGACGGUACUGACGCUAAGGCGCGAAAGCGUGGGGAGCGAACAGG